rnacentral:lncRNA from 10 species
GGAGAGAUAAAAGUCUACACAUUGGGUACAGUGCACAUUGCUUGGGUGGUGGGUGUACCAGAGUCUCAGAAAUCACCACUGAAGAAUUUAUUCAUGUAACCAAGCGCCACCUGUUUUCUCUUAUAUGAAGACCAAGCUCAGUAAUGCUGUGUUUUUAUGGACCUAUAAUUGUGUCCAUGCUGCCCUGUCAUUUUACCAGUUCUUGUAUUUGAGCAGAUAAUACCAAAAAUGGUGCAAACUUACUUUUGCUACAGAUGAUGACAAUUUUAGACUAGGUUACACAUAUUUAUACAUAUAGUACCUAAGGGUAGGAGCUCAGGCAAGAGUGUAGGGAGGAGCCCAGUAAAUGUGAGAUGAAAUUCUAGAGCAGGUAAAGUCAACGUGGGGUGAAAUUCUAGACCAGGUAGAGCUCGUGGCAGGUGCUGUGUUAGGUAGCUAGUUGAAUUGGUAGGGAAAUGUUUCAGAAGGUAAGAUAACAGGUGACCACAAACUUGGUAGCUUACAGAAGUUUAUUUAAGUUCCGAAGGGCUAAAGUCCGAAAUCAAGAUGUCAGCAGGGCCACACUCCCUUCACGUGGCCUUCUCUUUUGUAUUUGUGCCUCUUCUGUCUCUUAUAAGGAUAAUUAUUGUUGGAUUUAGAGCCCACCUGAAAUGCAAGAUGAGUUCAUCUCAAGAUCCUUAACUUAAAUUUGUAAAGUUGUUUUCUAAAUAGUGCAGUCUUUACAGGGUCCAGGUAUUAGGAUGUGGAUAUAUAUUUUUUGGGGGCCACUGGUCAAAACCAGUGAAGUCCUACUUAAAAG